rnacentral:rRNA from 1 species
AUUGAACGCUGGCGGCAUGCCUUACACAUGCAAGUCGAACGGCAGCACGGUUGCUGGCACCUGUUGGCGAGUGGCGAACGGGGGAGUAAUACAUCUGCACAUGUCCUUUAUUUUUGGAGAGGCCUGCGAAAGCCGGAUUAAUACCGCAUACGAUCUCCGGAUGAAAGCGGGAGACCGUCGUCUCUCGCCCUAUAGGGUUGGCAGAUGGCUGAGUAGCUAGUUGGUGGGGUAAAGGCCUACCAAGGCGACGAUCAGUAGCUGGUCUGAGAGGACGACCAGCCACACUGGAACUGAGACACGGCCCAGACUCCUACGGGAGGCAGCAGUGGGGAAUUUUGGACAAUGGGCGAAAGCCUGAUCCAGCAAUGCCGCGUGUGUGAAGAAGGCCUUCGGGUUGUAAAGCACUUUUGUCCGGAAAGAAAACCUUGGCCCUAAUACGGUCGGGGGAUGACGGUACCGAAAGAAUAAGCACCGGCUAACUACGUG